rnacentral:rRNA from 1 species
GGGUUGUGAGGUUAAGCGACUAAGCGUACACGGUGGAUGCCCUGGCAGUCAGAGGCGAUGAAGGACGUGCUAAUCUGCGAAAAGCGCCGGCAAGGUGAUAUGAACCGCAACAGCCGGCGAUGUCCGAAUGGGGAAACCCAGUGUGUUUCGACACACUAUCGCAACAUGAAUACAUAGUGUUGCGAGGCGAACCGGGGGAACUGAAACAUCUAAGUACCCCGAGGAAAAGAAAUCAACCGAGAUUCCCCCAGUAGCGGCGAGCGAACGGGGAGCAGCCCAGAGCCUGAAUCAGCUUGUGUGUUAGUGGAAGCGUCUGGAAAGUCGCAGGGUACAGGGUGAUACUCCCGUACACGAAAACACACAUUCUGUGAGCUCGAUGAGUAGGGCGGGACACGUGGUAUCCUGUCUGAAUAUGGGGGGACCAUCCUCCAAGGCUAAAUACUCCUGACUGACCGAUAGUGAACCAGUACCGUGAGGGAAAGGCGAAAAGAACCCCGGCGAGGGGAGUGAAACAGAACCUGAAACCGUGUACGUACAAGCAGUGGGAGCCUCUUUUAUGGGGUGACUGCGUACCUUUUGUAUAAUGGGUCAGCGACUUAUAUUCUGUAGCAAGGUUAACCGUAUAGGGGAGCCGCAGGGAAACCGAGUCUUAACUGGGCGUUAAGUUGCAGGGUAUAGACCCGAAACCCGGUGAUCUAGCCAUGGGCAGGUUGAAGGUUGGGUAACACUAACUGGAGGACCGAACCGACUAAUGUUGAAAAAUUAGCGGAUGACCUGUGGCUGGGGGUGAAAGGCCAAUCAAACCGGGAGAUAGCUGGUUCUCCCCGAAAGCUAUUUAGGUAGCGCCUCGUGAACUCAUCCUCGGGGGUAGAGCACUGUUUCGGCUAGGGGGCCAUCCCGGCUUACCAACCCGAUGCAAACUGCGAAUACCGAGGAAUGUUAUCACGGGAGACACACGGCGGGUGCUAACGUCCGUCGUGAAGAGGGAAACAACCCAGACCGCCAGCUAAGGUCCCAAAGUCAUGGUUAAGUGGGAAACGAUGUGGGAAGGCCCAGACAGCCAGGAUGUUGGCUUAGAAGCAGCCAUCAUUUAAAGAAAGCGUAAUAGCUCACUGGUCGAGUCGGCCUGCGCGGAAGAUGUAACGGGGCUAAACCAUGCACCGAAGCUGCGGCAGCGACGCGCAAGCGUUGUUGGGUAGGGGAGCGUUCUGUAAGCCGUCGAAGGUGUGCUGUGAGGCAUGCUGGAGGUAUCAGAAGUGCGAAUGCUGACAUAAGUAACGAUAAAGCGGGUGAAAAGCCCGCUCGCCGGAAGACCAAGGGUUCCUGUCCAACGUUAAUCGGGGCAGGGUGAGUCGACCCCUAAGGCGAGGCCGAAAGGCGUAGUCGAUGGGAAACAGGUUAAUAUUCCUGUACUUGGUGUUGCUGCGAAGGGGGGACGGAGAAGGCUAUGUUGGCCGGGCGACGGUUGUCCCGGUUUAAGCGUGUAGGUGUGUGCUCCAGGCAAAUCCGGUGCACUUUACACUGAGGCGUGACGACGAGGCACUACGGUGCUGAAGCAACAAAUGCCCUGCUUCCAGGAAAAGCCUCUAAGCUCCAGGCAACACGAAAUCGUACCCCAAACCGACACAGGUGGUCAGGUAGAGAAUACCAAGGCGCUUGAGAGAACUCGGGUGAAGGAACUAGGCAAAAUGGUGCCGUAACUUCGGGAGAAGGCACGCUGGCGCGUAGGUGAAGGGACUUGCUCCCGGAGCCGAGGCCAGUCGAAGAUACCAGCUGGCUGCAACUGUUUAUUAAAAACACAGCACUGUGCAAACACGAAAGUGGACGUAUACGGUGUGACGCCUGCCCGGUGCCGGAAGGUUAAUUGAUGGGGUUAUCCGCAAGGAGAAGCUCUUGAUCGAAGCCCCGGUAAACGGCGGCCGUAACUAUAACGGUCCUAAGGUAGCGAAAUUCCUUGUCGGGUAAGUUCCGACCUGCACGAAUGGCGUAAUGAUGGCCAGGCUGUCUCCACCCGAGACUCAGUGAAAUUGAAAUCGCUGUGAAGAUGCAGUGUACCCGCGGCAAGACGGAAAGACCCCGUGAACCUUUACUACAGCUUGACACUGAACACUGGUCCUUGAUGUGUAGGAUAGGUGGGAGGCUUUGAAGCGUGGACGCCAGUCUGCGUGGAGCCGCCCUUGAAAUACCACCCUUUAAUGGCUGGUGUUCUAACGUAGGCCCGUUACCCGGGCUGCGGACAGUGUCUGGUGGGUAGUUUGACUGGGGCGGUCUCCUCCCAAAGCGUAACGGAGGAGCACGAAGGUUGGCUAAUCCUGGUCGGACAUCAGGAGGUUAGUGCAAUGGCAUAAGCCAGCUUGACUGCGAGAGUGACGGCUCGAGCAGGUGCGAAAGCAGGUCAUAGUGAUCCGGUGGUUCUGAAUGGAAGGGCCAUCGCUCAACGGAUAAAAGGUACUCCGGGGAUAACAGGCUGAUACCGCCCAAGAGUUCAUAUCGACGGCGGUGUUUGGCACCUCGAUGUCGGCUCAUCACAUCCUGGGGCUGAAGUAGGUCCCAAGGGUACGGCUGUUCGCCGUUUAAAGUGGUACGCGAGCUGGGUUUAGAACGUCGUGAGACAGUUCGGUCCCUAUCUGCCGUGGGCGCUGGAAAACUGAGGGGGGUUGCUCCUAGUACGAGAGGACCGGAGUGAACGCACCGCUGGUGUUCGGGUUGUCAUGCCAAUGGCACUGCCCGGUAGCUAAGUGCGGAAGAGAUAAGUGCUGAAAGCAUCUAAGCACGAAACUUGCCCCGAGAUGAGUUUUCCCUGAGCACUUGAUGCUCCUGAAGGGACGUUGAAGACGACGACGUUGAUAGGCCGGGUGUGUAAGCGCAGCGAUGCGUUGAGCUAACCGGUACUAAUGACCCGUGAGGCUUAACCUUACAACGCCAGAGGCGUUUUG